ACUCCUACGGGAGGCAGCAGUGGGGAAUAUUGCACAAUGGGCGCAAGCCUGAUGCAGCCAUGCCGCGUGUGUGAAGAAGGCCUUCGGGUUGUAAAGCACUUUCAGUGGGGGGGAAAGGUUGUUGGUUAAUACCUAACAGCUGUGACGUACCCACAGAAGAAGCACCGGCUAACUCCGUGCCAGCAGCCGCGGUAAUACGGAGGGUGCAAGCGUUAAUCGGAAUUACUGGGCGUAAAGCGUGCGCAGGCGGUCUGUUAAGC
rnacentral:rRNA from 1 species